AGUGAACGCUGGCGGUAGGCCUAACACAUGCAAGUCGAACGGCAGCACAGUAAGAGCUUGCUCUUACGGGUGGCGAGUGGCAGACGGGUGAGGAAUACAUCGGAAUCUACUUUUUCGUGGGGGAUAACGUAGGGAAACUUACGCUAAUACCGCAUACGACCUAGGGGUGAAAGCAGGGGAUCUUCGGACCUUGCGCGAUUGAAUGAGCCGAUGUCGGAUUAGCUAGUUGGCGGGGUAAAGGCCCACCAAGGCGACGAUCCGUAGCUGGUCUGAGAGGAUGAUCAGCCACACUGGAACUGAGACACGGUCCAGACUCCUACGGGAGGCAGCAGUGGGGAAUAUUGGACAAUGGGCGCAAGCCUGAUCCAGCCAUACCGCGUGGGUGAAGAAGGCCUUCGGGUUGUAAAGCCCUUUUGUUGGGAAAGAAAAGCAGCAGGUUAAUACCCCGCUGUUCUGACGGUACCCAAAGAAUAAGCACCGGCUAACUUCGUG
rnacentral:rRNA from 1 species